rnacentral:lncRNA from 1 species
GUUACCAAGACUACCGUGUUAUUGCUGAAACGAGAGGUGAUUUAAAUACGGAAAAUUAAGAUUGAUUUCAGAUGACCUACUUUUGUUAUUGGAAUUUAAUAGGUCCUCUAAUUUUCUUUCUUCUGUAAAUUAGCAACAGUGAAGUCUUAAGAAUAAGCCUCGCUCCUCUUUUAUGCGACAGAUGAUGAUGAUGGUGCCCUCAAGCCGCCUCUUUCUACACUGGAUGCUUGAAAAUAGAAACCAUGCCGUCGGUUCUAGAUCUCUCCACCAAAGUGGAAAAGGAACGCUAACGGGCAUCGCCAGCAUUUCGUGAGUGGUUACUGCAGCUGGCCUGGAGCACCUCGGUUUGCACAUGUUAGUCAUCUCAGUGAAUCCCUGUCACACCUCAGGAGAGAGCCACCAUUGGUUAUCUCCACUCUAUCUGUGAAGAAGGAGUCUGCCCGAGAUCACCCCCACCACCAGCGCCCGGGGCAUCUGUCUGCGGCACAGCACAGCAUCCCUCUCCUGCCCUCCAGAUGUCUUUGACUCCCACCUUCAAAAGCAAGUUGACAUCCUCAUUCAAGAGCAAGGACCAGCUUGGGUCCAUAUU